ACGUGUGGAGCAAGCGUUAUCCGGAUUUACUGGGUGUAAAGGGUGCGUAGGUGGCAGUGCAAGUCAGAUGUGAAAGGCCGGGGCUCAACCCCGGAGCUGCAUUUGAAACUGCUCGGCUAGAGUACAGGAGAGGCAGGCGGAAUUCCUAGUGUAGCGGUGAAAUGCGUAGAUAUUAGGAGGAACACCAGUGGCGAAGGCGGCCUGCUGGACUGUUACUGACACUGAGGCACGAAAGCGUGGGGAGCAAACAG
rnacentral:rRNA from 1 species